GUUCACUUUGCAGCACAUAUAUUAAAAUUGGAAUGAUACAAAGUAGAUUAUUAGCCUAGCCCCUUCACAAGGAUGACACAAAUUUGUGAAGCGUUCCAUAUUUUU